AACGCGAAGAACCUUACCAAGUCUUGACAUCCCGGUGCCAAUGCAUGUAAUGUGCACUUUCUUCGGAACACCGGUGACAGGUGGUGCAUGGUUGUCGUCAGCUCGUGUCGUGAGAUGUUGGGUUAAGUCCCGCAACGAGCGCAACCCUUACUGUUAGUUGCUACGCAAGAGCACUCUAACGGGACUGCCGUUGACAAAACGGAGAAAGGUGGGGAUGACGUCAAAUCAUCAUGCCCUUUAUGAGCCGGGCUACACACGUAAUACAAUGGCAAUUAACAACGGGAAGCAAAGCCGCGAGGUGGAGCAAAUUCCCAAAAAUUGUCUCAGUUCGGAUCGCAGGCUGCAACCCGCCUGCGUGAAGUCGGAAUUGCUAGUAAUCGCGGAUCAGCAUGCCGCGGUGAAUACGUUCCCGGGUCUUGUACACACCG
rnacentral:rRNA from 1 species